rnacentral:rRNA from 1 species
ACAGUGUCUGGUGGGUAGUUUGACUGGGGCGGUCUCCUCCUAAAGAGUAACGGAGGAGCACGAAGGUUGGCUAAUCCUGGUCGGACAUCAGGAGGUUAGUGCAAUGGCAUAAGCCAGCUUGACUGCGAGCGUGACGGCGCGAGCAGGUGCGAAAGCAGGUCAUAGUGAUCCGGUGGUUCUGAAUGGAAGGGCCAUCGCUCAACGGAUAAAAGGUACUCCGGGGAUAACAGGCUGAUACCGCCCAAGAGUUCAUAUCGACGGCGGUGUUUGGCACCUCGAUGUCGGCUCAUCACAUCCUGGGGCUGAAGUAGGUCCCAAGGGUAUGGCUGUUCGCCAUUUAAAGUGGUACGCGAGCUGGGU